rnacentral:rRNA from 1 species
UACGGAGGAUGCGAGCGUUAUCCGGAUUUAUUGGGUUUAAAGGGUGCGCAGGCGGCACGGCAAGCCGGCGGUCAAAUCGCGGGGCUCAACCCCCGCCCAGCCGUCGGAACUGCCGGGCUAGAGUGGGCGAGAAGUGCGCGGAAUGCGUGGUGUAGCGGUGAAAUGCAUAGAUAUCACGCAGAACUCCGAUUGCGAAGGCAGCGCACCGGCGCCCUACUGACGCUCAGGCACGAAAGCGUGGGUAUCGAACAGG